GGCUGACGGAGGAAGAGAAACAGAGGCUGGAGGAGUUCGCCGAGAAGAAGGCUAUCCCCAUGUCCAGCAUUCAGUAUGUCCAGGAAACAGAUGAUUGUCCUGAGAAGUAAAGACCUGCCCGGGUGAUAACAUGUUCAGGAGGGCACCUGCCUCCUUCUUCCCCAUUCCAGCAGAAUUGAC